rnacentral:misc_RNA from 1 species
GACGAACCGUGCUAACGUUGUUCGGAUUCACUGGGCUUAAAGGGCGCGUAGGCGGGUGACCAAGUCAGGGGUGAAAUCUUUCGGCUCAACCGGAAACGUGCCCCUGAUACUGGCCGCCUGGAGGGGGGUAGGGGCGGACGGAACUUCCGGUGGAGCGGUGAAAUGCGUAGAUAUCGGAAGGAACGCCGGUGGCGAAAGCGGUCCGCUGGACCCCUUCUGACGCUGAGGCGCGAAAGCCAGGGGAGCAAACGGG